CUACGGGAUGCUGCAGUGGGGAAUAUUGGACAAUGGGGGAAACCCUGAUCCAGCAGUGCCGCGUGUGUGAAGAAGGCCUGCGGGUUGUAAAGCACUUUCGGUUGGGAGGACUGCUUCUAGCACUAAUAUUGUUGGAAGUUGACGUUACCUUCAGAAGAAGCACCGGCUAACUCCGUGCCAGCAGCCGCGGUAAUACGGAGGGCGCAAGCGUUAAUCGGAAUUACUGGGCGUAAAGCGCGCGUAGGCGGCUAGAUCAGUCGGGUGUGAAAGCCCCGGGUUUAACCUGGGAACUGCAUCCGAUACUGUCUAGCUUGAGUACAGGAGAGGAGAGUGGAAUUCCACAUGUAGCGGUGAAAUGCGUAGAUAUGUGGAGGAACACCAAUGGCGAAGGCAGCUCUCUGGCCUGAUACUGACGCUGAGGUGCGAAAGCGUGGGGAGCAAACAGGAUUAGAUACCCGCGUAGUC
rnacentral:rRNA from 1 species